rnacentral:rRNA from 1 species
GACGAACGCUGGCGGCGUGCUUAACACAUGCAAGUCGAACGGAAAGGCCCUGCUUUUGCGGGGUGCUCGAGUGGCGAACGGGUGAGUAACACGUGAGUAUCCUGCCCUUGACUUUGGGAUAACUUCAGGAAACUGGGGCUAAUACCGGAUAGGAGCUCCUGCUGCAUGGUGGGGGUUGGAAAGCUUCGGCGGGUGGGGAUGGACUUGCGGGUUAUCAGCUUGUUGGUGGGGUAUCGGCUUACCAAGGCUUUGACUGGUAGCCGGCCUGAGAGGGUGACCGGCCACAUUGGGACUGAGAUACGGCCCAGACUCCAACGGGAGGCAGCAGUGGAGAAUAUUGCACAGUGAGCGGGAGCCUGAUGCAGCGGCGCCGCGUGCGGGAUGACGGCCUUCGGGUUGUAAACCGCAUUCACCUGUGACGAAGCGUGAGUGACGGUAAUGGGUAAAGAAGCACCGGCUAACUACGUG